AGGACGAACGCUGGCGGCGUGCUUAACACAUGCAAGUCGAGCGGAAAGGCCCUUCGGGGUACUCGAGCGGCGAACGGGUGAGUAACACGUGAGCAACCUGCCCUUAGCUCCGGGAUAGCUCCGGGAAACCGGAAUUAAUACCGGAUACGACCACGGCCGACAUCUGCUGUGGUGGAAAGGAUUCCGGCUAAGGAUGGGCUCGCGGCCUAUCAGCUAGUUGGUGGGGUAAUGGCCCACCAAGGCGACGACGGGUAGCCGGCCUGAGAGGGCGACCGGCCACACUGGGACUGAGACACGGCCCAGACUCCUACGGGAGGCAGCAGUGGGGAAUAUUGCGCAAUGGGCGAAAGCCUGACGCAGCGACGCCGCGUGGGGGAUGAAGGCCUUCGGGUUGUAAACCCCUUUCAGCAGGGACGAAGCGAAAGUGACGGUACCUGCAGAAGAAGCGCCGGCUAACUACGCGCCAACAGCCGC
rnacentral:rRNA from 1 species